CUGAGAUUUUCUUCAUCUCUCUAGGUCUUGGUUUACUCUGCUGGAAAGUGAGGAUGAUCUUCCUCACAGGGUCUUUAUGGGGAUUCAGUGUGAAGAUCCCCCUGGCACUCAGGAAACAGUGCCACCUCUGAGAAGAGACUAAGCAGUCAGACGCGCAGACCCCUUAAACUGGGCAGGGCGCAUGAGGAAUGGGUAUACAUCUUCAGUCCCCAUGUGGGUUGUCGCUCAGAGCAGCUGGGAACAUGCCAUUGGACCCUGGGCUGUCAAUUUGGAGAGGCCCCCAAUAACCCUAAGAAAGAAAUGACAUUUUUACCUGCCUGCUAUACAGAGGGUGAAACUAAAUUUCAAAGAAGCACCCAAGGAGAGAGCACUGGAGAAGGAAGAGGAAAGGCAGGUUCCAGGGGCAGAAAUUCACUUCCUAGCCUGUCAUUUUACCACUUCGAGGUUUUGCGGGAAGGCACAGCACCAGGAUUACUCUUCAACUCCCUCGGAGCCCCCCAGC
rnacentral:lncRNA from 1 species